AGUGAACGCUGGCGGUAGGCCUAACACAUGCAAGUCGAACGGCAGCACAGGAGAGCUUGCUCUCUGGGUGGCGAGUGGCGGACGGGUGAGGAAUACAUCGGAAUCUACUCUGUCGUGGGGGAUAACGUAGGGAAACUUACGCUAAUACCGCAUACGACCUGCGGGUGAAAGCAGGGGACCUUCGGGCCUUGCGCGAUUGAAUGAGCCGCUGUCGGAUUAGCUAGUUGGCGGGGUAAAGGCACACCAAGGCGACGAUCCGUAGCCGGUCUGAGGGGAUGAUCAGCCACACUGGAACUGAGACACGGUCCAGACUCCUACGGGAGGCAGCAGUGGGGAAUAUUGGACAAUGGGCGCAAGCCUGAUCCAGCCAUACCGCGUGGGUGAAGAAGGCCUUCGGGUUGUAAAGCCCUUUUGUUGGGAAAGAAAUCCAGCUGGCUAAUACCCGGUUGGGAUGACGGUACCCAAAGAAUAAGCACCGGCUAACUUCGUGCCAGCCGCCGCCGUAA
rnacentral:rRNA from 1 species